AUUCCAGCUCCAAUAGCGUAUAUUUAAGUUGCUGCAGUUAAAAAGCUCGUAGUUGGAUUUCGGAUGGGAUUUGCCGGUCCGCCGUUCCGGUGUGCACUGGCCAGUCUCAUCUUGUUGUUGGGGACUAGCUCCUGGGCUUCACUGUCCGGGACUAGGAGCUGACGAGGUUACUUUGAGUAAAUUAGAGUGUUCAAAGCAAGCCUACGCUCUGAAUACAUUAGCAUGGAAUAACAUGAUAGGACUCUGGCUUAUCUUGUUGGUCUGUGAGACCAGAGUAAUGAUUAAGAGGGACAGUCGGGGACAUUCGUAUUUCAUUGUCAGAGGUGAAAUUCUUGGAUUUAUGAAAGACGAACUUCUGCGAAAGCAUUUGUCAAGGAUGUUUUCAUCG
rnacentral:rRNA from 1 species